rnacentral:lncRNA from 1 species
UUUACAUGUUUACAUCGAGGUUCUUUCGUCGAAGUUAUUGGGAUUUCUUAGGAAUCAAAAGGAUAAAAUUGAAGGAUUUGUGAUCCUUGAAAUUGGGAAGAAUCUGUGUUCAUUUCAAAUGUGUGAUAAGGCGAAGCAUGUACCUGUAAGUAAAUAGGUAUGCAGCAGCAUUCCUUAUCUUCCUCUGACUUAGUUUAUCAGUGAUUAUUCGAUGAAAACCUGUGGAAAUCUACCUUUGAAUUAGAAUUUAAUCUGUGCCCUUUUGGAAUGUGUGAAGAGAUGGAGAAGGAAUCAUCUUUGGACCAACAACAAGCUUGCACUACUGCAGAAGUUGAAGGAUUUGUUAGGACCAUCCGAAGCUCUAGCGAUGAUCAGGCCAAAUAUGCGACCCCUUCCUGCUGUUCCCUGCCAAAGUUGCAUGAAAAAAAUAGGAGUCAACAUGAAAAGAAAGGAACAGAGCCAGUGACGAUGCAAUUUUUCUAAAAAUCACUACUUGAUCCUUGAAUUCUUGGAAUUUGUUUAUUCUUGCACGGAGCGAAGAAUGCCUCAUAGUGUGAAAUAUUUUGGAAGACCAUGUGCAAAGAAGGUACAGAUUAUACUUAUUUUUUGGCAUGCUUAAAUAGAUAAGAACAUUUGUGAGAGGCUUCACGGGGAAAAAAGGUUAAAAAAGUUUUGAUUGGUACGUUUUUUGUUUUUUUUUCUAAAAAAAAAAAAAAUGAAUAAAAAAUUGUUUUUAAUUUUAUGGCACUUUCUUGGUUUACAGAACAAUUUCAGUUCACUCACCCAAAUUGUUUUGAGCCAAGGAAUGUGCUUUUGAAUUAAAUACAAUUUUUCUUUCAAAUUCAAAAACUUUUUUAACAUUUUUAUCAGUAUAUAUUAGAUGCUGCAAUUGA